UUCUAAAAAAUUCAUCUAUUUUUACUGUUAAAAGUUAGCAUGACUGAUAGAAUAACUAGAUAAUUGCACAUGGCAUGCAACACGUACCAUAUUCUGACAUACAAAUAUUAGUUUUUAGCAGUAGAAUUAGAUGAAAUUUUAAACA
rfam:Gossypium raimondii Chr07_contig_543, whole genome shotgun sequence.